rnacentral:rRNA from 1 species
ACUCAAAUGAAUUGACGGGGGCCCGCACAAGCGGUGGAGCAUGUGGUUUAAUUCGACGCAACGCGAAGAACCUUACCUGGGCUUGAACCACUGGUGGUAAGUCUCUGGAAACAGAGACUGACCCGUAAGGGAGCCAGUAGAGGUGCUGCAUGGUUGUCGUCAGCUCGUGUCGUGAGAUGUUGGGUUAAGUCCCGCAACGAGCGCAACCCCUAUCUCAUGUUGCAACCUGCGCAAGCAGGGCACUCUUGAGAAACUGCCUUCGAUAAGAAGGAGGAAGGUGGGGACGACGUCAAAUCCUCAUGGCCCUUAUGUCCAGGGCUACACACGUGCUACAAUGGCCGGUACAACGGGAAGCAAUGCCGCAAGGUGGAGCUAAACCCUAAAAACCGGCCCCAGUUCAGAUUGUGGGCUGCAACUCGCCCACAUGAAGUCGGAAUCGCUAGUAAUCGCGAAUCAGCAGGUCGCGGUGAAUACGUUCCCGGGCCUUGUACACACCGCCCGU